AGUGAACGCUGGCGGUAGGCCUAACACAUGCAAGUCGAACGGCAGCACAGUAAGAGCUUGCUCUUACGGGUGGCGAGUGGCGGACGGGUGAGGAAUACAUCGGAAUCUACUUUUUCGUGGGGGAUCACGUAGGGAAACUUACGCUAAUACCGCAUACGACCUACGGGUGAAAGCAGGGGAUCUUCGGACCUUUCGCGAUUGAAUGAGCCGAUGUCGGAUUAGCUAGUUGGCGGGGUAAAGGCCCACCAAGGCGACGAUCCGUAGCUGGUCUGAGAGGAUGAUCAGCCACACUGGAACUGAGACACGGUCCAGACGCCUACGGGAGGCAGCAGUGGGGAAUAUUGGACAAUGGGCGCAAGCCUGAUCCAGCCAUACCGAGUGGGUGAAGAAGGCCUUCGGGUUGUAAAGCCCUUUUGUUGGGAAAGAAAAGCAGCAGGUUAAUACCCCGCUGUUCUGACGGUACCCAAAGAAUAAGCACCGGCUAACUUCGUG
rnacentral:rRNA from 1 species